UUGGAGUAGUAAUAUUAAUGAAAUUUAACGGAUUUGGCGGCAAGAUAGCCCCUUAGAGGAACCUGCCCUGUAAACGAUGAACCACGAUGGACUCUACUUUUUUUGGUAAUCAGUUUGUAUAUCGCUGUUGUCAGUUAGAUUCUUGAGAAUAUUUUCGUUCAUGAAAAGUUCAUUGACUUCAAGUAAAGGUGCAGCUUAUAAGAAAGAUAGAGGUGGGUUACAUUUAUAAGAAUAAGACGGAGAGGAUGAUUGAAAUAGUCCUUGAAGGUGGAUUUAACUGUAAAACUUAAUUAGGUUUGGUGAGAGCUC
rnacentral:rRNA from 1 species